GACGAACGCUGGCGGCGUGCUUAACACAUGCAAGUCGAACGGAAAGGCCCUGCUUUUGUGGGGUGCUCGAGUGGCGAACGGGUGAGUAACACGUGAGUAACCUGUCCUUGACUUUGGGAUAACUUCAGGAAACUGGGGCUAAUACCGGAUAGGAGCUCCGGCUGCAUGGUGGGGGUUGGAAAGUUUCGGCGGUUGGGGAUGGACUCGCGGCUUAUCAGCUUGUUGGUGGGGUAGUGGCUUACCAAGGCUUCGACGGGUAGCCGGCCUGAGAGGGUGACCGGCCACAUUGGGACUGAGAUACGGCCCAGACUCCUACGGGAGGCAGCAGUGGAGAAUAUUGCACAAUGGGCGGAAGCCUGAUGCAGCAACGCCGCGUGCGGGAUGACGGCCUUCGGGUUGUAAACCGCUUUCGCCUGUGACGAAGCGUGAGUGACGGUAAUGGGUAAAGAAGCACCGGCUAACUACGUG
rnacentral:rRNA from 1 species